rnacentral:rRNA from 1 species
GGGUCAGUAGGUUGGUCGUGCCACCGGUACGUACUGGACUCACUGAUUCCUCCUUCCUGAAGAACCGUAAUGCCAUUAAUUUGGUGUUGCGGGGAAACAGGACUGUUACUUUGAAAAAAUUAGAGUGUUUAAAGCAAGCUAACGCUUGAAUACAUUAGCAUGGAAUAAUGAAAUAGGACGAUCGAUCCUAUUUUGUUGGUUUCUAGGAUUGACGUA